AUUGUAAUUGUUUUUAAUAACCUGCCCAGGGACUGCGGUUGAAAAUUAGCCAGCUGGCUAAAACCGUCACUUUUACUGAAACAUUGAUUAAUGUGCACUGCCCCUGUAAAAAUAAAAUAAACUCAAACUCAAACAUCUCCUUACCCUAUCGUCAACAUUACCACAACAUAGUGAGAGCCACUUUGGAAAAGAAACAUAGCUCCAUGUUGGAUAUUUUGGCACUAAGAGACAACAAGGUCAUAAACAGCAUGCGACAUAUCAGUCUUGGUAUAUUAGUCUCAUGUUGAUAUAGUAAAAUUGUUAUUUUGUUAAUUUUCAAAAUGGCAUAUUUUGAAAAACAUCCAAACAAAUGGCCAUUCACUUUCAUAGUGGGGAAAAUAGGUUUCCAUGACGGCCUAGUGAUUGAGUAACAAUACCCAUACUGUUUAUCAGUAACUAUGUCCUGACACGCAAGCAAAUCAUAAUAAUCCUCCAAGAACCAAUCAGCAAAGGCCUGUUAACUAAACCCCUGAGAGACCAGUAUAGAAAAUAGAAUCCCUAGAAUCGGGAAGGCCCUCAGACCCAUUAACUUGAAUCGGAAUGUCCGUUCUAGGGAUUAUAUUUCUAUGGUUACACAGGAAACCAGGGGGAUCUGCUUCCACAACAGUCCUGGAGGUUUUAAGGUAAAGGUCAGCUUGGUAAUAACUUCAGACGCUUUUCAGUGUUCAUCAACAACCAACAACCAACAACCUCAACAGGACGUCUGUUUUAAUCAGUCUCCCACUGGACUGAACCAUGGGGUGCAACACCAGCAGGGGUUCUGUCGUGGUGGACCCUUCUAAAAAGCCAGAGACCAGACCAGCGUCGGCCAGCUCGACCAGUAAGUCCACCGCUGAGGAGACUAAAGAAACUACAGACAAAGACAAAGAUGAAACAGAAGGCAUAUCAAGCUGCGACUGACAUCCAUCUUUCUUCUUAACACAAACUCCUCAAAAUUGGACCUGCCUGCAGAGGAAGGCAAUGCUGCACAACUGUCCAUCGUCAUCUGGGACCAGACCAGCCACACACCCCGCUCUACACUGUGAUGUAACCUACCAGCCACACACCCCGCUCCGAUCUGUGAUGUAACCUACCAGCCACACACCCCGCUCCACUCUGUGAUGUAACCUACCAGCCACACACCCCGCUCCACUCUGUGAUGUAACCUACCAGCCACACACCCCGCUCCACUCUGUGAUGUAGACCUACCAGCCACACACGCUGCUCCACUCUGUGAUGUAACCUACCAGCCACACCCCCCGCUCCACUCUGUGAUGUAGACCUACCAGCCACACACCCCACUCCACUCUGUGAUGUAACCUACCAGCCACACACUCCCCUCUAUGAUGUAACCUACCAGCCACACACUCCCCUCUGUGAUGUGACCUACCAGCCACACACUCCCCUCUGUGAUGUAACCUACCAGCCACACACUCCCCUCUGUGAUGUAACCUACCAGCCACACACUCCCCUCUGUGAUGUAACCUACCAGCCACACACUCCCCUCUGUGAUGUAACCUACCAGCCACAGGUUCCUUACUCUGUCUACUGUUGCUUUUCCAGAACACUCUCUCUCUCAAUCUCUCAACUGGACCUUCAGUGUCCACAGUGCCAUGUUUAUAUCCUGUUAAUGUGCCAGUAUGGUCAUUGUAACAACAAUGAGACAUGGUAGUAAAUGUACAGAUUCAAUCUGACUAAUGUCCUUUAUUGUUUUUAAUGUCCUUUAUUGUUCUUACCUCCAUCUCUAUCUCACUCUCCAUCACACACCUCUGUUCCAAGGUGGCAAUUGCAAUCAGUUAUUUCAAAAGCUUCCAACCCUGCCGCAGGCUAAACCGAACAGCAGCCAAAUCAGUAGGCUUUGUAGGCAGUUUUUGUUACAGCUGUACAGCAUAUUACUGAUCACUCCAGCAAUCCUAGGCUCCAACACUACAUAACACUGCAUCAGGAAGCUGUUACAACUCUGUGUUUGGGUAGACAGCAGCAUGCUUGUUAUUACCUAUGAAGGAAAUGGUUCCCAUAGAUACAAAUACUAUAUACUGCAAUGCUUUCUUUUGCCACCAGGUGGCAUGUAAACACACCUGCAGUUCUGUCUGUCACCACCAGGGUGCAGAAGUGAUCCAUCAGUAUUUGGUGGGCUAUCCAAGGCCCUGGUCCAUUUUCUCAAGACAUUUAAUCUGAAAUAUAUGUUGUAAAUGUAUUACCAGCGAGUGAAUAGAGCUGGAAGGGAAUAGCCAUUUCACAAAGCCCAUAUCACAAAUACCCAUCACAGAGGAAGCGGGAAAUUACAUGAAAAUAUUACCAUUAUACAAAUGGAAAGUGUGAUUGAAUAAUGUGUUUGAGAAGAUAAAUGGAAAGCACUUUGUUAGAAAAUGUGGUGCUAAAUAGCUUUUUAAUUUCAGAUGUGGGAUAAAAUAAAACACAUUUCUACUCCA